UAGCAGCGCAUCAUGGUUUGAAACAAUGUGGAAAAGGUGCGAACCAUAAUUUGCUGCUUUA
ensembl:miRNA microRNA 15b